AUUGAACGCUGGCGGCAGGCCUAACACAUGCAAGUCGAGCGAGCGGCGGACGGGUGAGUAAUGUCUGGGAAAAUGCCCGAUGGAGGGGGAUAACUACUGGAAAAGGUAGCUAAUACCGCAUACCAUCAGAUGUGCCCAGAUGGGAUUAGCUAGUAGGUGGGGGAACGGCUCACUCAGGCGACGAUCCCUAGCUGGUCUGAGAGGAUGACCAGCCACACUGGAACUGAGACACGGUCCAGACUCCUACGGGAGGCAGCAGUGGGGAAUAUUGCACAAUGGGCGCAAGCCUGAUGCAGCCAUGCCGCGUGUGUGAAGAAGGCCUGCGGGUUGUAAAGCACUUUCAGCGGGGAGGCGUUACCCGCAGAAGAAGCACCGGCUAACUCCGUGCCAGCAGCCGCGGUAAUAC
rnacentral:rRNA from 1 species